GAUCCUGCCAGUAGUCAUAUGCUUGUCUCAAAGAUUAAGCCAUGCAUGUCUCAGUACAAGCCAAAUUAAGGUGAAACCGCGAAAGGCUCAUUAAAUCAGUUAUGGUUCCUUAGAUCGUACCCACAUUUACUUGGAUAACUGUGGUAAUUCUAGAGCUAAUACAUGCAAACAGAGCUCCGACCGGAGACGGGAGGAGUGCUUUUAUUAGAUCAAAACCAAUCGGCGUCAGUACGUUUCGGCGUUACUGUUCGUCGCACUUUUUGGUGACUCUGAAUAACUUUUGGCUGAUCGCACGGUCUUGCACCGGCGACGCAUCUUUCAAAUGUCUGCCUUAUCAACUGUCGAUGGUAGGUUCUGCGCCUACCAUGGUUGUAACGGGUAACGGGGAAUCAGGGUUCGAUUCCGGAGAGGGAGCCUGAGAAACGGCUACCACAUCCAAGGAAGGCAGCAGGCGCGCAAAUUACCCACUCCCGGCACGGGGAGGUAGUGACGAAAAAUAACGAUACGGGACUCAUCCGAGGCCCCGUAAUCGGAAUGAGUACACUUUAAAUCCUAUAACAAGGACCAAUUAGAGGGCAAGUCUGGUGCCAGCCGCCGCGGUAACUCCAGCUCUAAUAGCGUAUAU
rnacentral:rRNA from 1 species